rnacentral:rRNA from 1 species
UACGUAGGGGGCAAGCGUUGUCCGGAAUUAUUGGGCGUAAAGCGCGCGCAGGCGGCCAAGUCAGUCGAAUGUGAAAGCCCCCGGCUUAACUGGGGAGGGUCAUUCGAUACUGCUCGGCUCGAAGACAGGAGAGGGAAGUGGAAUUCCCGGUGUAGUGGUGAAAUGCGUAGAUAUCAGGAGGAACACCGGUGGCGAAAGCGGCUUCCUGGUCCAGCACCGACGUUCAGGCACGAAAGCGUGGGGAGCAAACAGG